GCAGCAUUUGUGGACAUAGUCAGCACUCAUGCACAUGCCGCUGUGUUUGUGGAGCAAUGCACAGUUAUGAAAGCAGAUGCUUCUUUAAAAUAAUAAUAAGGCUUCAAUCAGGCAGUCAAAGGAGAAGUGACUUGACAGUGCUACUGAACAGCCUUUAGGAAUACACAGGUUUUUUAAAAAAAAAUGUUCUUCACGCGACACAGCAGAGCAACCCUGCCUUUGGCCCAGACAGCAGACUUAAUGACCUUCAGUGGGAUUUUCAGAAGUGCCUCAGGUUUGCUAGAAGGACAUUUCUUAUCCUUAAUUACUUGUGCUCCUAAAUUAUUUAGGUGUCUUUGACAAUAUCACCACUAAUCCUAAUGAAGUUGAAGGCAGGCUCUUUAAUAAGCAUAAUGUUGCAGUCUGCACCAUUUGUGUCCCUGGUAGAACUUGUGCUGCUCAGCUGAUGGGAGCUGAUUCAAUCUGUGUAUCUCACCUACCCAGAGAUAAGCAUCCUGAAUGCUCCUGUUUUUCCUUCCGUCAAAAAAUAAGAGACCUAUUUGGUGAACACCCAUCGAUGAAGGAUGUAAAUUGUGGACCUGGACACACAGGCGUGACCUGUAAUGGAGAAGCUAUCAUGUACCUGCUUUGGCUCCCAGUGGAAGAUGAGGAUAGGUUUCUUCCAAUUAUAUGGUCUCUGUUUGGAUUGCUCCUUGCUAAGAUGACCUUGCAUCAGUCCAGUCAGCAGGAAAUUCCUUGUUCCUUCCCCAAGGUAUCCAUUUAGAGACCUGGACGUCAGAGCUGAAAAUUGGAUGAUGAUGAAGGGAAAAAUAACUUGAAGGCAAGGCAAGAAGGACCAGAAGAACAGGGCAAGCACGGUAGAGAAGGAGAGACCCACCGCAGCGGGGAAAGCCAAGGACAAGGUAAAUCUCUGGCUGAUUUGUGAUCUUCUGGUGAGAACACAGAUGGAAGAUGGUGGGGGAAACUUUCAGGGAACUGUCCAAA
rnacentral:lncRNA from 1 species